rnacentral:rRNA from 1 species
UACGUAGGGGGGCAAGCGUUGUCCGGAAUUAUUGGGCGUAAAGAGCUCGUAGGCGGUCUGUCGCGUCGGCUGUGAAAUCCCGAGGCUCAACCUCGGGUCUGCAGUCGAUACGGGCAAACUAGAGUAUUGCAGGGGAGACUGGAAUUCCUGGUGUAGCGGUGAAAUGCGCAGAUAUCAGGAGGAACACCGGUGGCGAAGGCGGGUCUCUGGGCAAUAACUGACGCUGAGGAGCGAAAGCGUGGGGAGCGAACAGG